AUUGAACGCUGGCGGCAUGCGUAACACAUGCAAGUCGAACGGUUUCUGGUGCUUGCACCGGAGAUAGUGGCGGACGGGUGAGUAAUACGUAGGAAUCUGUCUUAGAGAGGGGGACAACCUGAGGAAACUUAGGCUAAAACCGCAUAAACUCGGAAGAGAAAAGCAGGGGACCGGAAACGGCAUUGUGCUCUAAGGUGAGCCUACGUCGGAUUAGCGAGUUGGUGGGGUAAAGGCCUACCAAGGCGAUGAUCUGUAGCUGGUCUGAGAGGACGGACAGCCACACUGGGACUGAGACACGGCCCAGACUCCUACGGGAGGCAGCAGUGGGGAAUAUUGGACAAUGGGGGGAACCCUGAUCCAGCGAUGCCGCGUGUGUGAAGAAGGCCUGCGGGUUGUAAAGCACUUUCAGUUGGAAAGAGAAGCGAGAUGAGAAUAUUGUUUCGUGGAGACGUUACUAACAGAAGAAGCACCGGCUAACCCUGUGCCAGCAGCCGCCGUAA
rnacentral:rRNA from 1 species